rnacentral:misc_RNA from 1 species
CACGAACCGGACAAACGUUAUUCGGAAUUAUUGGGCUUAAAGGGUGCGUAGGCGGUGCUGUAAGCCGGGUGUGAAAUCCCACGGCUCAACCGUGGAACUGCGCCUGAUACUGCAGUGCUAGAGGGAGACAGAGGUAAGCGGAACUGAUGGUGGAGCGGUGAAAUGCGUUGAUAUCAUCAGGAACACCAGUGGCGAAAGCGGCUUACUGGGUCUCUUCUGACGCUGAGGCACGAAAGCUAGGGUAGCGAACGGG